rnacentral:rRNA from 1 species
UCGCCUGUUUAUCAAAAACAUGGUUUUUUGUUUUUAUAAAAAAUCUGGCCUGCCCAAUGAUUUAUUAAAUGGCUGCAGUAUUUUGACUGUACAAAGGUAGCAUAAUCACUUGUCUUUUAAUUGAAGUCUGGUAUGAAUGGUUGGAUGAAAAGUUUACUUUCUUUAAUUUAAAAAUAAAAUUUGAUUUAUAGAUCAAAAAGUCUAUAUGUUUUAAUAGGACGAGAAGACCCUAUAGAACUUUAUUUAUAUUUAUUGUUUGUUAUUUAGUAAAUUAUUAGUUUACAUUUUUGUAUAUAUUUUAUUGGGGUGAUAAAAAAAAUUUUUUAACUUUUUUUAUUUUUUUCAUUUAUUUAUGUAUUUUUGAUCCUUUAUUAUGGAUAAUAAGAAUAAGUUACCUUAGGGAUAACAGCGUUAUUAUUUUAGAGAGUUCAUAUUGAUAAAAUAGUUUGCGACCUCGAUGUUGGAUUAAAAUUAGUUUCAGGAGUACAAGAUUGAUUUACUGGGUCUGUUCGACCUUUAAAUUUUUACAUGAUCUGAGUUCAAACCGGAGA